rnacentral:misc_RNA from 1 species
UUUUUUUUUUUUUUUUACUUUUACUAAACCUUUGAAUUAACCCCAGCCAUCCAUCUCUUAGAAAUAAUCUAAGCCAUCCAAUCCAUAAUAUAUGAUCAUUCUUUCACAAAACCCAUCUUCUCCUUGCCCCACCACCCACCUCCCCAUCUGCUUUCUUCCUUUGCUCUUUGCUUUCUUCCCCUUCAUUUCCCCUUCUCUUCUCUCUUCUUGUGCUCUCCACCCACUUCUUCCUCGCCUAGAAUAUUUAGUUUAUUUUCUUCCUUUAUUGCUUCCCACUUCAUUUCUUCCUUUAUUUUCUGCCGUGCACAGUGUAUGUGAUUCCAUCCUUAGGGCCCAACGCCACAGGAAAACAGCCCCUCAACAUCAGCGCCCUAGCACUGCAGCACCAGCACCAGAGGCCCACAGCUCCUCCAUUUAUUUUUCCUUUCCUUUUUUAAUUUAUUUUCUGCAAUAUGUAAGAUUGAUCGGAUGAUUGUCAUUUUGAGUUAAAUUUGUUAAUGGAAAUUUUUGUUUUCAAUUAUUUUGUUUUGGAUAUUUAUUUGA